CCUACGGGGGGCAGCAGUGGGGAAUAUUGCACAAUGGGCGAAAGCCUGAUGCAGCAACGCCGCGUGAAGGAAGAAGGGUUUCGGCUCGUAAACUUCUAUCAACAGGGACGAAAGAAAUGAUGGUACCUAAAGAAGAAGCCCGGGCUAACUACGUGCCAGCAGCCGCGGUCAUACGUAGGGGGCAAGCGUUAUCCGGAAUUACUGGGUGUAAAGGGUGAGUAGGCGGCAUGGUAAGCCAGAUGUGAAAGCUGUGGGGUUAACCCGAGGAUUGCAUUAGGAACUAUCGAGCUAGAGUACAGGAGAGGAAAGCGGAAUUCCUAGUGUAGCGGUGAAAUGCGUAGAUAUUAGGAAGAACACCAGUGGCGAAGGCGGCUUGCUGGACUGAAACUGACGCUGAGGCACGAAAGCGUGGGGAGCGAACAGGAUUAGAUACCCUGGUAGUC
rnacentral:rRNA from 1 species